AAUUUGCAUUGGAACAGUAAAAUCCCUUUUGCAAUAUUCUUUGAUAUCUUUUGAGAAGACAAAAACUCAAAGAAACCAUGUGACCAUAACAGAAGCAAAGCAAUGAAGCCAGUAGAGAGACCAUGACUAAAGUCACCUGUAGGGUAGAGGCCAGUUUCAUUGAUGUCAGAAGUGGUAUUAUUCCCAGGACCAGGUCAUUGGAGUCUUGAGUAACCAGUGGGAUUGGAUCAGAUACCACCAGAGAUUUAUUUCAACUGAGUCUCCCAAGCACUGAGCUAGCUCUGGAAAUGCAUGUCAAUCUCAUCAGCAAUGUAGACAUCCCUGGAGAGUAUGCUACCAAGCCGUUUCUGGAGUGGAAAUUUCUAUCAACUGAUUGGGGGCCACAUCCUUCGGUGUCACAUUUCCUGAGGACCCUCCCUUCCAGAAAAGUCACCAAUCAACAACUAGCAACCUGAGAUGUGGACAGAAAGCAUCCUCCCAGGUGCAACUGAACUGUCUAGUUGGCCUGGAAGUAUGAGAGCCAUAGGAACUGAAAUUUAAAGUUCCAUUUUGAUUGGUAAAUUAAACAAAUAAAAAUCAAAUAAAUAAU